CCUUUCGGGGGUACACGAGCGGCGAACGGGUGAGUAACACGUGGGUGACCUGCCCUGCACUCUGGGAUAAGCCUGGGAAACUGGGUCUAAUACCGGAUAUUCACAUGGUCCUGCAUGGGGUUGUGUGGAAAGUUUUUUCGGUGUGGGAUGGGCCCGCGGCCUAUCAGCUUGUUGGUGGGGUGAUGGCCUACCAAGGCGACGACGGGUAGCCGGCCUGAGAGGGCGACCGGCCACACUGGGACUGAGAUACGGCCCAGACUCCUACGGGAGGCAGCAGUGGGGAAUAUUGCGCAAUGGGCGGAAGCCUGACGCAGCGACGCCGCGUGGGGGAUGACGGCCUUCGGGUUGUAAACCUCUUUCGCCAGGGACGAAGCGCAAGUGACGGUACCUGGAUAAGAAGCACCGGCCAACUACGUGCCAGCAGCCGCGGUAACACGUAGGGUGCGAGCGUUGUCCGGAAUUAUUGGGCGUAAAGAGCUCGUAGGCGGUGUGUCGCGUCGGCCGUGAAAACUAGAAGCUUAACUUUUAGCUUGCGGUCGAUACGGGCAUCACUGGAGUUCGGCAGGGGAGACUGGAAUUCCUGGUGUAGCGGUGAAAUGCGCAGAUAUCAGGAGGAACACCGGUGGCGAAGGCGGGUCUCUGGGCCGAUACUGACGCUGAGGAGCGAAAGCGUGGGGGAGCGAACAGGAUUAGAUACCCUGGUAGUNNCGCCGUAAACGUUGGGCGCUAGGUGUGGGGAUCAUUCCACGGUCUCUGUGCCGCAGCUAACGCAUUAAGCGCCCCNNCUGGNGAGUACNGCCGCNAGGNUAAAACUCNAAGGAAUUGACGGGGGCCCGCACNAGCGGCGGANCAUGUGNAUUAAUUCGAUGCAACGCGAAAACCUUACCUGGGUUUGA
rnacentral:rRNA from 1 species